UACGUAGGGCGCAAGCGUUAUCCGGAAUUAUUGGGCGUAAAGAGCUCGUAGGCGGUUUGUCGCGUCUGCCGUGAAAGUCCGGGGCUUAACCCCGGAUCUGCGGUGGGUACGGGCAGACUAGAGUGCAGUAGGGGAGACUGGAAUUCCUGGUGUAGCGGUGAAAUGCGCAGAUAUCAGGAGGAACACCGAUGGCGAAGGCAGGUCUCUGGGCUGUAACUGACGCUGAGGAGCGAAAGUAUGGGGAGCGAACAGG
rnacentral:rRNA from 1 species